rnacentral:rRNA from 1 species
GAAUUCGCCCUUAGAGUUUGAUCCUGGCUCAGGACGAACGCUGGCGGCGCGCCUAACACAUGCAAGUCGAACGAGAGAGAGGGAGCUUGCUUUCUUGAUCGAGUGGCGAACGGGUGAGUAACGCGUGAGGAACCUGCCUCAAAGAGGGGGACAACAGUUGGAAACGACUGCUAAUACCGCAUAAGCCCACGACCCGGCAUCGGGAAGGGGGAAAAGGAGCAAUCCGCUUUGAGAUGGCCUCGCGUCCGAUUAGCUAGUUGGUGAGGUAACGGCCCACCAAGGCGACGAUCGGUAGCCGGACUGAGAGGUUGAACGGCCACAUUGGGACUGAGACACGGCCCAGACUCCUACGGGAGGCAGCAGUGGGGAAUAUUGCACAAUGGGGGAAACCCUGAUGCAGCGACGCCGCGUGGAGGAAGAAGGUCUUCGGAUUGUAAACUCCUGUUGUUGAGGAAGAUAAUGACGGUACUCAACAAGGAAGUGACGGCUAACUACGUGCCAGCAGCCGCGGUAAAACGUAGGUCACAAGCGUUGUCCGGAAUUACUGGGUGUAAAGGGAGCGCAGGCGGGAAAUCAAGUUGGAAGUGAAAUCCAUGGGCUCAACCCGUGAACUGCUUUCAAAACUGUUUUUCUUGAGUAGUGCAGAGGUAGGCGGAAUUCCCGGUGUAGCGGUGGAAUGCGUAGAUAUCGGGAGGAACACCAGUGGCGAAGGCGGCCUACUGGGCACCAACUGACGCUGAGGCUCGAAAGUGUGGGUAGCAAACAGGAUUAGAUACCCUGGUAGUCCACACCGUAAACGAUGAUUACUAGGUGUU